AUUGAACGCUGGCGGCAUGCCUUACACAUGCAAGUCGAACGGUAACAGGGUGCUUGCACCGCUGACGAGUGGCGAACGGGUGAGUAAUGCGUCGGAACGUGCCGAGUAGUGGGGGAUAACGCAGCGAAAGUUGUGCUAAUACCGCAUACGUACUGAGGUAGAAAGUGGGGGACCUUCGGGCCUCACGCUAUUCGAGCGGCCGACGUCUGAUUAGCUAGUAGGUGAGGUAAAGGCUCACCUAGGCGACGAGCAGUAGCGGGUCUGAGGGGAUGAUCCGCCACACUGGGACUGAGACACGGCCCAGACUCCUACGGGAGGCAGCAGUGGGGAAUUUUGGACAAUGGGCGAAAGCCUGAUCCAGCCAUGCCGCGUGUCUGAAGAAGGCCUUCGGGUUGUAAAGGACUUUUGUCAGGGAGGAAAUCCCUAGCGUUAAUACCGCUGGGGGAUGACAGUACCUGAAGAAUAAGCACCGGCUAACUACGUGCCAGCCGCCGCGGUAACAC
rnacentral:rRNA from 1 species